rnacentral:rRNA from 1 species
GUGAGGAAUUUUCCGCAAUGGGCGAAAGCCUGACGGAGCAAUGCCGCGUGAAGGAUGAAGGCCUAUGGGUUGUAAACUUCUUUUCUCAGAAAAGAAUUAUGACGGUAUCUGAGGAAUAAGCAUCGGCUAACUCUGUGCCAGCAGCCGCGGUAAGACAGAGGAUGCAAGCGUUAUCCGGAAUGAUUGGGCGUAAAGCGUCUGUAGGUUGUUUAAAAAGUAUUCUGUCAAAGAUUAGGGCUUAACCCUAGAUAGGCAGAAUAAACUUUUAAGCUAGAGUUUGGUAGAGGCAGAGGGAAUUCCCGGUGGAGCGGUGAAAUGCGUAGAUAUCGGAAGGAACACCAAAGGCGAAGGCACUCUGCUGGGCCAAUACUAACACUGAGAGACGAAAGCGAGGGGAGCAAAUGGGAUUAGAAACCCGGGUAGUCC